rfam:Clostridium acetobutylicum ATCC 824, complete genome.
GCUCCUGUAGCGCAGUUGGUAGCGCAGCUGAUUCGUAAUCAGUUGGUCGUAGGUUCAAAUCCUAUCUGGAGCA